UACGUAGGGGGCAAGCGUUGUCCGGAAUUAUUGGGCGUAAAGAGCUCGUAGGCGGUUUGUUUCGUCGGGUGUGAAAACCCGAGGCUCAACCUCAGGCCUGCAGUUGAUACGAGAAGACUAGAGUGUUGCAGGGGAGACUGGAAUUCCUGGUGUAGCGGUGAAAUGCGCAGAUAUCAGGAGGAACACCGGUGGCGAAGGCGGGUCUCUGGGCAGCAACUGACGCUGAGGAGCGAAAGCGUGGGGAGCGAACAGG
rnacentral:rRNA from 1 species